rnacentral:rRNA from 1 species
GAUGAACGCUGGCGGCGUGCCUAAUACAUGCAAGUCGAGCGAACAGACGAGGAGCUUGCUCCUCUGACGUUAGCGGCGGACGGGUGAGUAACACGUGGAUAACCUACCUAUAAGACUGGGAUAACUUCGGGAAACCGGAGCUAAUACCGGAUAAUAUAUUGAACCGCAUGGUUCAAUAGUGAAAGACGGUUUUGCUGUCACUUAUAGAUGGAUCCGCGCCGCAUUAGCUAGUUGGUAAGGUAACGGCUUACCAAGGCAACGAUGCGUAGCCGACCUGAGAGUGGGAUCGGCCACACUGGAACUGAGACACGGUCCAGACUCCUACGGGAGGCAGCAGUAGGGAAUCUUCCGCAAUGGGCGAAAGCCUGACGGAGCAACGCCGCGUGAGUGAUGAAGGUCUUCGGAUCGUAAAACUCUGUUAUUAGGGAAGAACAAAUGUGUAAGUAACUAUGCACGUCUUGACGGUACCUAAUCAGAAAGCCACGGCUAACUACGUG